rnacentral:lncRNA from 1 species
UUGUAACAUAUUUUAUAUACUCAUUUUUAAAAGAUGACCUUUUGAUGGACAUCGCCAUGUGACGUUUCUCUACAUUUUACCUUUUGCAGUUAGACUUCAUCUGUUGAUGUAUACUGUGAACGUUUUGUGCAUAUUUAAAUAUAUUAACUUAUUUUGAAAGACAUGCAUAAUGUCAAAUAAUUAACAUGAUGAAAAUACAAAUUGUUUAGUCUCAAGAAAACAUUUAAGAUUUCCACUGCUACUUUUACUAAAUAGGUGCAAUUUGGGUAUCGUGACAUUACAACUUACAAUCAUUUCAUACACCAAACAUAG